AUGAAGGGGUAUGAUCAACGAGAGGAGGAGAUGGAAACGUCAACCUCGUCUACCGAACUCCCAGAAGGCAAAACAAAGGCAUAGCUCUGUCUCUGAGAGAACCAGUGUUCUUUAAAUCCUCUUAGUUUUUGCCAUGAUGAAGUCACAGAAUACUUCAAAUACAAAUCUUUUAAAAAGAUCAACUGAUGUCUUUUACAUAUAUAGUAAGGCCAAGUAAUAAUCUUCUUUUAUGUAAUUAUAAGUUAAUGCAAUCUUAUGAAAGAACAAAGAUGAUGGUGCCAGACAACACUUGCAUCACUAAGUCAAAAAGUAUGUAUGCACCUGAUGUGUCUAAAAUCCAAUUUAAUUUCAUGUAAUUCAUUCAGAACCAAAAAUGUUUUCUUUCUAGAUGUUACUUUAUGGCAGCAUGUGACUUUAGGCCCAAAGACAGUGAGCAAAGGAACAUCUAUGUUUCUUUAAAGAUGUGUCACCUUAUCCCUGCCCUACAUGAUCCAAAUUGAUAAAAUUCAACUUUCAGCAGGUAACUUGCUAUUCCGAUCAUUUCAUCUGCACUGAAAAGUGACUUACUCUAUUUGUUAUAAAAAGCUCGGACUUUGGUACAAAGACCCCUGAGUGAUUCUAAAUGGAACCUUGAAAACAAACAGGUGCCUACGUUCUAAUUAUUCUCCUACUACAAUCUAGACAUUUUAGAAAACAUGUUUCAUUAAAAAGUCUUCUAUCAGGUCAUUUAUCUUCGAACGUUUCAUUUGCUGAUGGAGACAGUACCACUUACAUGAGAAGAUGUUCUACAACGGCAACCUGGAUGUUUUACCACCAACAGCUACGAUCUCUAAUCUCAACCUGCUGCAAGCUGCUCUCACCAGGCCUUGGAAGACAAGCAAGCUGAAAGCCAAGGGGAUACAGGUGUGGUCAGAGGCCUCUUGGACGCCACGUAAGAAAUAAAACCGAGCUAGAUGCGGAGUUCUUGUGCUGUGGCCUCUACACCUGUCAUUUCCAAACGUCCCGUGAUGACUUGAAGUCAGACAUCACGGAGUUCACCCCUCUAGGAGUGUCAGAACUCGGAGGGAUGAUGAGGAGACACACCGUCAUCAUAAUCAGUGACUGUGACAACCGCCCCUUGUCCUGUAAGACGAGCACCACAGGCGUAACUCUUCUCGUCCUCGUGCGACUCUAGAAGGAAGGAACUACUAGUAGUCACUUUUUCAAGUGAGGGACGGAAGGGUAAAUAGUGGUUCUAAGGUCACACAGCGAGCGACCAGUGAACCCUGGGAAUAAAGUCCUUGAGCCCAGAUGGCGACAGGAGUCGGGGGGAGAGCCGUGACCUCGCUGGUCACACUUGCUCUCCUGCUAACUCUCCUGGUGAGUCUGGGAGAAACACAGGCUGCUGGCCCCAUCCAGUCUGUGGUUUUGAGAGCUAGGGUUUUGGGGAAUCCUAAAACAGGCCUUGCCUAUCGACUCUCUCAUUUGACUCAAAACGCGUCCAUCAGUCCGCGUUUCUGGGUGCUCACUGCGAGCCAGACACUGGGGUGAGCGUUUCCACCCACAUCUUCCCGCUGAAUCCUCGUGUCGCCUCUACGGAUAGCCGUGCUAGUAGCCCUACUUUACAGGUGACCUAGAGCUUGGACAGGAGAAGCAACCGACUUGAGAGCAGGGGAAAUGGGAACCUGCCCACUACACUGAACUACGUCAUGGGGAAUCUGUGGCUGAAUAAUUUCUCAGGCGAACAUUUUAAUUUACCAAAAAUAUGCUGUUAAAAGAGUCGCCAGAUCUCGAGUUUGUUGGUUGUUAGUUGACCUCACUGUCCGACAUUGCAUCAUUGGAAGAGGAGGAAGUUUUCCAGACAUUACACCAUAAAGGCUUAGACAGUAUUACUAUUCUUUUAUAUAUCAACCUUUAAAUCAUAAAACUCAACUCACCUGGUAAGGUAAGAGUUGACCAGGCUCUAUUUGCGUGUUUGAACGUCUGAACCUGAGUAUCUGCUGCACACAUGCACACUCAUUACCCUUGCUGCCUACGGGCCUUCAGCUCAGAGGCCGUUGUCUUUUAUUUAUUUGUUUGACUUGAUUUAGUAGGAGGCUGAGCCACUUAAUAAUUCAUGAAUAUACUCCUGUGGGUAAUGAGUCCUAUAAAGCCAUUAGAAAAAAAAACAGUCUCCAUUCUCUUGAGUAGGUUCACCAGUCUGCCUGCCACUGUGUUGAAAGUAUCAGAUUUUGUGCAAACACUUCCUUCCUAAAUGAUUAAAAGGAAAACUUUUCACAAAAAGCUUCACUCUGGGAGAAUGACCCCAAUCCGAUCCAAACUCCUCUAUCAAAGUGCUCCCUGACGGGUGUAAUGCAGGGCACUGGGUCUAGAUCUUUGAACCAGAACAUGUAUUCGUUAUGAGAAAUCCUAUGUUUUAUAAUA